AGAAGAAAAAAAAGAUGAAAGGGAAAAUAGAAGGAAAACAGAAAGUGGAACCCAUGACCUUGUUUGUUAUCAUAUAGGUCUUAUUUCUCAUUUUCCUCCCAUUUACUUCUCCCUUUCCAGUUUCCUCCACUUCCCAAACAUAACAUUAAAAGUUUUAAAUCCAAAUGAAAGUGAAUAGUGUGAGGAAAAUGGAAAACAGUAUUAAAACAAAAUCAAAAUAUGUUAAUAAGUCUUUAUGGCUAAAUUUAGGAGAGGGAGGGGAAAUUGAAAGAAGAGAAAAUAGAA
rnacentral:misc_RNA from 1 species